GCCACAUGAUGAUAUCAAGGCUGUGGUGAUUCAGUUGGUUUGGCUAAGUCUGGGGAACUUUGACCUAUUAAGGUCUGUAAUCUUGGUGGACAAUACAGAGUUAUGUGUGUUCACUGUAAGGGCAGACCGACAAGAAAUUCUUCCUGCUUUUGAACUAUUUCUCUUUCAUAGAGAUGAUUCUUCCCAGUUGCCAGGAAGAAACUGUGGUAACUGGAGUGAGAAAGUAGGAAGAGACAGGGCAUGUUCAUGGUAUCAGAGUCAGGGGUCUCAAAGGACUUAGCUUGUGUUGUGACCACUGAGAGAUGAAACACAGAUCUUUGGUAAUCUGAUGGCU